CGGAGCUUGCUCUGUGGGAUCAGUGGCGAACGGGUGAGUAACACGUGAGCAACCUGCCCCUGACUCUGGGAUAAGCGCUGGAAACGGCGUCUAAUACUGGAUACGAACCAUGAAGGCAUCUUCAGUGGUUGGAAAGAUUUAUUGGUUGGGGAUGGGCUCGCGGCCUAUCAGCUUGUUGGUGAGGUAAUGGCUCACCAAGGCGUCGACGGGUAGCCGGCCUGAGAGGGUGACCGGCCACACUGGGACUGAGACACGGCCCAGACUCCUACGGGAGGCAGCAGUGGGGAAUAUUGCACAAUGGGCGCAAGCCUGAUGCAGCAACGCCGCGUGAGGGAUGACGGCCUUCGGGUUGUAAACCUCUUUUAGCAGGGAAGAAGCGAAAGUGACGGUACCUGCAGAAAAAGCGCCGGCUAACUACGUGCCAGCAGCCGCGGUAAUACGUAGGGCGCAAGCGUUAUCCGGAAUUAUUGGGCGUAAAGAGCUCGUAGGCGGUUUGUCGCGUCUGCUGUGAAAUCCGGAGGCUCAACCUCCGGCCUGCAGUGGGUACGGGCAGACUAGAGUGCGGUAGGGGAGAUUGGAAUUCCUGGUGUAGCGGUGGAAUGCGCAGAUAUCAGGAGGAACACCGAUGGCGAAGGCAGAUCUCUGGGCCGUAACUGACGCUGAGGAGCGAAAGGGUGGGGAGCAAACAGGCUUAGAUACCCUGGUAGUCCACCCCGUAAACGUUGGGAACUAGUUGUGGGGUCCAUUCCACGGAUUCCGUGACGCAGCUAACGCAUUAAGUUCCCCGCCUGGGGAGUACGGCCGCAAGGCUAAAACUCAAAGGAAUUGACGGGGACCCGCACAAGCGGCGGAGCAUGCGGAUUAAUUCGAUGCAACGCGAAGAACCUUACCAAGGCUUGACAUAUACGAGAACGGGCCAGAAAUGGUCAACUCUUUGGACACUCGUAAACAGGUGGUGCAUGGUUGUCGUCAGCUCGUGUCGUGAGAUGUUGGGUUAAGUCCCGCAACGAGCGCAACCCUCGUUCUAUGUUGCCAGCACGUAAUGGUGGGAACUCAUGGGAUACUGCCGGGGUCAACUCGGAGGAAGGUGGGGAUGACGUCAAAUCAUCAUGCCCCUUAUGUCUUGGGCUUCACGCAUGCUACAAUGGCCGGUACAAAGGGCUGCAAUACCCCCGAGGUGGAGCGAAUCCCAAAAAGCCGGUCCCAGUUCGGAUUGAGGU
rnacentral:rRNA from 1 species